AUGAACAGAACUAACUGCUUUGAUCCAGGAAUCUGAAAAGAUGCCUUUAGAGAGGGAAGUGGUUGAUGGCCAGUUGAUGAAUGCUUGGAAGAAACAUGAUGUACAUGGCAGAGAAGUAACAACGUAUGAAGGCUGCUUCUGGGACUAAGGGCUUCAGGAAGAAGUUCUCCCCUCAGCAGUAAUGCUGACUUCAGUGCCAGUUAACCAUCUGCUUUUCAUUCUUUACUUGACCUGAAUGAAGUUAGACUUGGAUUUCCCCCUUGAAUGAUUCCACAUGUGGGUCCUGGACACCAAUGUGAUCUUCCAGGAGAGCCAGGGUAAACACCACAACAAGGUCAACUUUAGGCUUGGACACCAAUGGCUGAAUUACUCAAGGAAGUGAGCCUUCUGAGAAGCAAGUAUAAGCAUUUCAAGCCACUCACCCCGAUUUUAGCGAGCUGCCCCACCACAGAGCCCACAGCACCAGCUGCAGCAUUAACCAGCACUGUCUCUCCUGGCUUCAUCUUGCAGACCUCCAGAAGACCAAAAUAUGCAGUGAGGCUGUGAAGAAAAAGAAAGAAUGCUCAGUGAGGAAUAAAAGACACCAGACAGAGAUGUGACUUGGCCACACUGAACCAAAAUAUCUUCACAAUCAGAACAAGAUUCAGUUUUCCUCAUUCUUUAUGAAAUACAAAAGGCAGAAGUCUACCUGAGGUGAAAACAGCUUUCUUUGUGCUUACUCGUCAGAAGGAGAAGCACAGAGAGAACUCAGCAAGGUGACAAUUCAGUUACACACUGGAGGAGAGAGUAAAUCCAAGAUAGACAGAGGUCAGUAGUCAGCUGGUAUCUACCAGAUUGAAGCAAAGAUUAAAUGAUACUCAUCACAAAUCAAAGCUGUCAGAAAAAGAAAAAAUGGUGGCAAAGCCUUUUUGAACUGAUGGGCACACUACUCCUGAGGACUACUGUGCACACCUAUGGCUACUGAGUAAACAGUAAUCUGUAGCAACCACUGAAGUUUAGCUCAAGCAUGUGCCACUGAUCAUAUAAAUAAUGAAUGACAUUGGGCUCUGCAAGCCUCCUGAAGCAAUGUGAUUGACUGGCCCAGAAUCCCCACAAACUUUUCUUCUAAUGUCUAAAUUAAGCUUAGAGCUUCCCACUUGGUCUGAACUGAAAGGCUGAACUGAAUCCAUCUAGCAGCUGUCUGGAAAAACGUGCAUCUUGCCUGAAAUCUGGAAGUUCUACAUCACACACAAUGUUACAAUAAUUUUGAAAGCCUUCCAUGUCAACAGGACUGACCAAGUCCUGAUCUCCUAUACAAAGUAGAGAGAAAGAAAAAAGAUACGUGGGAAGAUGACAGAGACUGCAGUAGUCAAUAAGGAUUCUAAAGCACAGCAGCACUAUUUGCUGCAAUGCAAUUUAAAGGACCUCUGUUUUGCUGCAUGGUAUGACAGCUUGUAAGAGACAAGCCCCAAGUGGCUGUACUGUGAGCCCAGGCAGUGCCCCCAGAAGUGAGUCAUAGGGAGGGGCCUGCUGUCACUUCUCUUGAUUUCACUGGUCUCUCAACCACUCCUGGAACUGGGAUGAGUUUUCCAGAAGUCCAGGAACUGGAGCCAAUAAACAGUGACACGUACAAGUCUGGCAGGGACUCUCUCCCUGCACCAAACCCACCCCAUUGGCAGAUCAAGUGCUGGAUCCAGGACUGAUUAUUUUUCCAGCUCUCUCUCUUUCUCUUUUCUCUUUCAAGUUGUUAAAGUGUUAAAGGCCUACCUUGCUUUCACAUAAAGCUGCACAGCUCUGGUAGAAACAACUGUGAGAAUGCCAGCAUUUACAGAUUAUUUGGUCUCUAUGUUCUCAUUAAAGCUGAUGUUUAUGUAC